UACGAAGGGGGCUAGCGUUGCUCGGAAUCACUGGGCGUAAAGGGCGCGUAGGCGGCGUUUUAAGUCGGGGGUGAAAGCCUGUGGCUCAACCACAGAAUGGCCUUCGAUACUGGGACGCUUGAGUAUGGUAGAGGUUGGUGGAACUGCGAGUGUAGAGGUGAAAUUCGUAGAUAUUCGCAAGAACACCGGUGGCGAAGGCGGCCAACUGGACCAUUACUGACGCUGAGGCACGAAGGUCAGGGGAGCAAACGGG
rnacentral:rRNA from 1 species